UCCGUAGGUGAACCUGCGGAAGGAUCAUUAAUGAAUUUCGGAUUGUGCUGGCUUUGCAAGUGCACGUCCAUUCAUCCAAACCCCUUGUGAACCUUUGACCUGACGCCCUAGGGCAGAUGGUAUUACACAAACUCUUAUACUGUAUGUGACUAGUUCAAGGCAUUAGCCUACUACUAUAACAACUUUUAACAACGGAUCUCUUGGCUCUCGCAUCGAUGAAGAACGCAGCGAAUUGCGAUAAGUAAUGUGAAUUGCAGAAUUCAGUGAAUCAUCGAAUCUUUGAACGCACCUUGCACCCUUUGGUAUUCCGAAGGGUAUGCCCGUUUGAGUGUCAUUGUAAUCUCACACUUGAGUUUUUCUCAAGAGGUGGACUUGAAGGUUGCUGUGGAAACGGCUCCUUUUUAAAAGCAUUAGUGAUGUGCAUCUCGCAUUACAAACCAGUGUAAUAAGAUUCCGCUGGGUGAAAGGCUUGAUAAAUCGCUUCAAACCGUCCAUUGAAUUGGACUGCCGCUUGCGGUAAUUGACAACUUGACCUCAAAUCGGGUAGGACUACCCGGCUGAACUUAAGGCAUAUCAAUAA
rnacentral:rRNA from 1 species